GCAGUCGAACGCGUCUUGGUUAUUGAUGUUAAGUGCUUGCAUUUAAUUGACUUAACAUUGAGACGAGUGGCGAACUGGUGAGUAACACGUGGGUAACCUGCCCUUGAAGUAGGGGAUAACACUUGGAAACAGGUGCUAAUACCGUAUAACAACCAAAACCACCUGGUUUUGGUUUAAAAGAUGGCUUCGGCUAUCACUUUAGGAUGGACCCGCGGCGUAUUAGCUUGUUGGUAAGGUAACGGCCUACCAAGGCAAUGAUACGUAGCCGACCUGAGAGGGUAAUCGGCCACAUUGGGACUGAGACACGGCCCAAACUCCUACGGGAGGCAGCAGUAGGGAAUCUUCCACAAUGGACGAAAGUCUGAUGGAGCAACGCCGCGUGAGUGAUGAAGGGUUUCGGCUCGUAAAACUCUGUUGUUGGAGAAGAACAGGUGUGAGAGUAACUGUUCACAUCUUGACGGUAUCCAACCAGAAAGCCACGGCUAACUACGUGCCAGCAGCCGCGGUAAUACGUAGGUGGCAAGCGUUGUCCGGAUUUAUUGGGCGUAAAGCGAGCGCAGGCGGUUUCUUAGGUCUGAUGUGAAAGCCUUCGGCUUAACCGGAGAAGUGCAUCGGAAACCAGGAGACUUGAGUGCAGAAGAGGACAGUGGAACUCCAUGUGUAGCGGUGAAAUGCGUAGAUAUAUGGAAGAACACCAGUGGCGAAGGCGGCUGUCUGGUCUGUAACUGACGCUGAGGCUCGAAAGCAUGGGUAGCGAACAGGAUUAGAUACCCUGGUAGUCCAUGCCGUAAACGAUGAGUGCUAAGUGUUGGAGGGUUUCCGCCCUUCAGUACUGCAGCUAACGCAUUAAGCACUCCGCCUGGGGAGUACGACCGCAAGGUUGAAACUCAAAGGAAUUGGCGGGGGCCCGCACAAGCGGUGGAGCAUGUGGUUUAAUUC
rnacentral:rRNA from 1 species